AACGAUAUAGGUAAACGCUCGAAUCUUUCUUUUGUUAUUCAUGAAUUAAGGUAAAAGCCGAAAAACCCCUAUAUGCAAAGGGUGCCUGUUGGUUGUACUCAAAGGGUUUAGUGGUGAUAUCUGAUUUGUUUUCCUAUAGUGUGGAUUAAAGGUUACUAAUUGAGGGCUUGGAUAUUUGGAACGACCAGAGUUAGAUCUAGUCCAUUUUUUCGGCAAAGGUAAGAACACUAGUGCCUAAAGUGUGAAUGGUCGAUUUUUAGUAAGGAGUUUUGCAGAUAAGUUGCUAUGGAUUCAUAGUUAACGUAUUAGUAAUUGAUUGUAGGCAGUUCGUGUGUGGAACUCGUCAGCGUUUCGUCACAAACAGGUGUGUAAACGACACCCACUCAUAGACUUGAUCGGUAAAAGCCGAAAAGCCAAAAUGCCGAAAAGUCGACAUUUGUGAACUUGCGAGCGUGCGAGCGCUCGUGAGGUGGUUUGUU
rnacentral:lncRNA from 1 species